rnacentral:rRNA from 1 species
AGUGAACGCUGGCGGCGUGCUUAACACAUGCAAGUCGAACGAGAACGGAAUAUAGCUUGCUAUAUUUGUCAGCUAAGUGGCGCACGGGUGAGUAAUGUAUAGAUAACCUGCCCUUAAGAAAGGAAUAACAGUUGGAAACGACUGCCAAUGCCCUAUAUGCCUUUAAUACAUAAGUAUGCAAGGGAAACGCUUUAGUGCUUAAGGAUGGGUCUGUAUGGUAUCAGCUUGUUGGUGAGGUAAUGGCUCACCAAGGCUAUGACGCCUAACUGGUUUGAGAGGAUGAUCAGUCACACUGGAACUGAGACACGGUCCAGACUCCUACGGGAGGCAGCAGUGGGGAAUAUUGCACAAUGGACGAAAGUCUGAUGCAGCAACGCCGCGUGGAGGAUGACACAUUUCGGUGUGUAAACUCCUUUUAUAUAGGAAGAUAAUGACGGUACUAUAUGAAUAAGCACCGGCUAACUCCGUGCCAGCAGCCGCCGCCG